rnacentral:rRNA from 1 species
UACAGAGGGUGCGAGCGUUAAUCGGAAUUACUGGGCGUAAAGCGUGCGUAGACGGCUAUUUAAGUCGGGCGUGAAAGCCCCGGGCUCAACCUGGGAAUUGCGUUCGAUACUGGAUAGCUAGAGUUCGGCAGAGGGAAGCGGAAUUUCCGGUGUAGCGGUGAAAUGCGUAGAUAUCGGAAGGAACAUCAGUGGCGAAGGCGGCUUCCUGGACCAGAACUGACGAUCAGGCACGAAAGCGUGGGGAGCAAACAGG